rnacentral:rRNA from 1 species
GAUGAACGCUGGCGGCGUGCCUAACACAUUCAAGUCGAACGGACUUAAGUUGGAAGCUUGCUUUUGACUUAAGUUAGUGGCGGACGGGUGAGUAACGCGUGAGCAACCUGCCUGUGUGAGUGGAAUAACAGCCGGAAACGACUGCUAAUACCGCAUAACGUAUACUGAUCGCAUGUUUGGUAUACCAAAGAUUUAUCGCACACAGAUGGGCUCGCGUUGGAUUAGAUAGUUGGUGAGGUAACGGCUCACCAAGUCUGCGAUCCAUAGCCGGACUGAGAGGUUGAACGGCCACAUUGGAACUGAGAAACGGUCCAGACUCCUACGGGAGGCAGCAGUGGGGAAUAUUGGGCAAUGGGGGAAACCCUGACCCAGCGACGCCGCGUGAGGGAAGACGGUCUUCGGAUUGUAAACCUCUUUCAGCAGGGAAGAUAAUGACGGUACCUGCAGAAGAAGCCACGGCUAACUACGUG